UUGAAUAAACUUGCGCAGGCUGUUGCUGGCCUCCUUUGGCAUGUGCACGCUUGUCAUCUUUAUCUCUCCAACUGUGCACAUAUUGUAGACCUGGAGUUUAUGUUGAUUUGUUUCGAGUUGGGACUGCUGUGCUUUUAAAGUCAGCUUUGCCUUUGCAUUCCCCAGGUCUAUGUCAUUUUCACAACCUCUCAUAGUGUUUAGAAUGUCGAAUCAGGUCCUUUUUGGACCUAUAAAGUUUAAAUAUA
rnacentral:misc_RNA from 1 species